UAUCUGGCUUGUUGCCUGAACGUCUGCUCAAUUGUAUGCUAGAGUCAGUGACAACGUCAAGAUCAGUAUCAUAGUACUCUGAACUCUGACCAUCAUAAUCUUCUGGGAGACCAUAACCGAAAUAGUCAUAAUGUUCCUGUAACUGUAAUUCUGAGUGCGAUCCACUGACUGCAUAGACAUUAUGUGUUACUAAUGCAACAUUAGCUCUGUCAUCAUAGUUAUUGAUACACUGCCUUAAUAAAUUUUCCAUUUCAUCACUAAUUGUAUAGUUAUUAUUAUUAUAGCCAUCAACGGACACCCAGUAAUAUUUUUGCCCCAGAUAGGCAAUUUGAUCUAUCACUGCCCUCU